UUGCAGCCUGCAACUCGGCUGCAUGAAGCUGGAAUCGCUAGUAAUCGCGGAUCAGAAUGCCGCGGUGAAUACGUUCCCGGGUCUUGUACACACCGCCCGUCACACCAUGGGAGUCGGGAAUGCCCGAAGUCAGUGACCCAACCGAAAGGGGGGAGCUGCCGAAGGCGGGCCUGGUAACUGGGGUGAAGUCGUAACAAGGUAUC
rnacentral:rRNA from 1 species